rnacentral:rRNA from 1 species
CUGAAGAGUUUGAUCCUGGCUCAGAUUGAACGCUGGCGGCAUGCCUUACACAUGCAAGUCGAACGGUAACGCGGGGCAACCUGGCGACGAGUGGCGAACGGGUGAGUAAUACAUCGGAACGUGCCCAGUAGUGGGGGAUAGCUCGGCGAAAGCCGGAUUAAUACCGCAUACGACCUACGGGUGAAAGGGGGGGAUCGCAAGACCUCUCGCUACAGGAGCGGCCGAUGUCAGAUUAGGUAGUUGGUG